GGGGAUUUAGCUCAGCGGCAUAAGCGCCUGCCUUAUAAGCACGUGGUCGCGAGUUCAAUCCCUG
rnacentral:tRNA from 1 species